UACGUAGGUGGCAAGCGUUGUCCGGAUUUACUGGGCGUAAAGGGCGUGCAGGCGGUUUGUUAAGUGGAGGGUGAAAGCUCCCGGCUCAACUGGGAGAGGUCCUUGCAUACUGGCGAACUCGAGGGAGGCAGAGGAAAGUGGAAUUCCCGGUGUAGUGGUGAUAUGCGUAGAUAUCGGGAGGAACACCUGUGGCGAAGGCGGCUUUCUGGGCCUUACCUGACGCUGAGACGCGAAAGCGUGGGGAGCGAACCGG
rnacentral:rRNA from 1 species